GAGUUUGAUCGUGGCUCAGGACGAACGCUGGCGGCGUGCCUAACACAUGCAAGUCGAACGGAGAACUCGAAAAGCUUGCUUUGAGAGUUCUUAGUGGCGGACGGGUGAGUAACGCGUGGGCAACCUCCCCCUUAAACCGGGACAACCCUUGGAAACGAGGGCUAAUACCGGAUACGCUUUUCUGAGGACAUCCUCGGGAAAGGAAAGGCGGCCUCUGAAGAUGCUGCCGAUAAGGGAUGGACCCGCGUUUGAUUAGCUGGUUGGUGGGGUAAAGGCCUACCAAGGCGACGAUCAGUAGCCGGCCUGAGAGGGUGAACGGCCACACUGGGACUGAGACACGGCCCAGACUCCUACGGAGGCAGCAGUGGGGAAUCUUCCGCAAUGGACGAAAGUCUGACGGAGCAACGCCGCGUGUAUGACGAGGG
rnacentral:rRNA from 1 species